GAUGAACGCUAGCGGCGGGCCUAACACAUGCAAGUCGAACGCGAAAGGUCUUCGGACUGAGUAGAGUGGCGCACGGGUGAGUAACACGUAGGUAAUCUACCCUUUGGCGGGGGAUAACGUUCCGAAAGGAGCGCUAAUACCGCAUAAGACCACGGAGUCUCCGGACGCUGUGGGAAAAGGUGGCCUCUUCUUGAAAGCUACCACCGAAGGAUGAGCCUGCGUCCCAUCAGCUAGUUGGUAAGGUAAUGGCUUACCAAGGCGAAGACGGGUAGCUGGUUUGAGAGAAUGAUCAGCCACACUGGCACUGGAACACGGGCCAGACUCCUACGGGAGGCAGCAGUGAGGAAUAUUGGGCAAUGGGCGAAAGCCUGACCCAGCCACGCCGCGUGAGUGAUGAAGGCCCUCGGGUCGUAAAGCUCUGUGGAGAGGGACGAAAACCCUGGUUUCAAAUAGGCUCCAGGCUUGACGGUACCUCUUUAGCAAGCACCGGCUAACUCUGUGCCAG
rnacentral:rRNA from 1 species